UACAGAGGUGGCAAGCGUUGUCCGGAAUUACUGGGUGUAAAGGGCGUGUAGGUGGGCUUCUAAGUCGGUGGUGAAAUCCUGCAGCUUAACUGUAGAACUGCCAUUGAUACUGGAAGUCUUGAGUACGGCAGAGGGAGAUAGAAUUCAUGGUGUAGCGGUGAAAUGCGUAGAGAUCAGGAGGAAUACCGAUGGCGAAGGCAGGUCCCUGGGCUGACACUGACGCUCAUGCACGAAAGCGUGGGGAGCAAACAGG
rnacentral:rRNA from 1 species